rnacentral:rRNA from 1 species
GAUGAACGCUAGCGGCAGGCCUAACACAUGCAAGUCGAGGGGCAGCACAUGAUGUAGUAAUACAUUUGGUGGCGACCGGCGGACGGGUGCGUAACGCGUAUGCAACCUACCUUUUACAGGGGGAUAACGGAGAGAAAUUUCCACUAAUACCCCAUAACAUCAUUAUCGGCAUCGACGAUGGUUGAAAACUCCGGUGGUAAGAGAUGGGCAUGCGUUGUAUCAGGUAGUUGGUGAGGUAAUGGCUCACCAAGCCUACGAUACAUAGGGGGACUGAGAGGUUAGCCCCCCACACUGGUACUGAGACACGGACCAGACUCCUACGGGAGGCAGCAGUGAGGAAUAUUGGUCAAUGGGGGCAACCCUGAACCAGCCAUGCCGCGUGCAGGAAGACGGCUCUAUGAGUUGUAAACUGCUUUUAUACAGGGAUAAAUAUGGGUACGUGUACUCAUUUGAAGGUACUGUAUGAAUAAGGAUCGGCUAACUCCGUGCCAGCCGCCGCCGUAAUAC